UUUGUAGGUUAAUUGGCCUCUGUAAAUUGCCGCACGUGUGUAGGGAGCAGGAUAACGCAGAAUAC